GAAACGAAAACUUCAAUUUGCCAAAUUGCUGUACAUGUUUCCUUGCUGGGUAGUUGCCCUAGCAAGUUAACCUAAAAUGAUUUUCUAAAAUGUAUUUUUAAUGAGAAAAUUUGAUCCCUGAAAUUUGUCUUAAACAUUUUUUUUUUCUUCAAACCUCUUAUAGGACUCUGGAGUUUCCACACCUUAGUGCCAAGAGCAUAGCAAAGGAAUCCAGCUCAGUUUAGUAAUUACUUGUGUUACUCUAGCUCAAAGUUGUUUUGCUCUUAAUGGCUUAGGAGAGCCAUUUGAAUACUUUAAUUCUUGUAAUAAAAGUUCUAAUGGGGAAAGUAGGUGAAUGCCCAUGUAAUGUUUAGCCUAUUAAAACAGUGAUAUUCAAAGCUUUUGCAGACAAAAUUCUUACCAGGGACUAUGAAUAAGGACAGGUCAAUUGUAAGGAAAGCAAGAAAAAAAUAAGAAAGUCAAAGUCAAUUGGGAGAGUCUUUUCCUUCUUCAAAAUAGGGCCCACAAUAUAGGGGAAUUUAUUUUUUCUCCCUUCUUAUUGGAAGAGGGGAGAUUCUCCCCAGUAAUCUGCUGAUUUCAUCCCGAGCAUAUUAGUUAGGCUUCCCCAGAGAAACAGAACCAAUAGGACACACACACACGCACACACACACACACACACACACACACAUUAUAUAUGAAGAGAUUCAUUAAGAAUUGGCUCACCCAAUUAUGGAGAUAUGGAAGUCCAGUGGACUGCAACCUGGAGACCCAGAAAGCUGGUGGUGUCAUUCAAUCCAAGUCCAAAGGCCUGAGAAAAAGGGAAGCCACUGGUGUAAGUCUCAGUCUGAUGGCAGACUCAGACUGCUCAUGCAGGCAGGUAGAAAAAAGGGACAAAGUCUCCCUUCCUUAUUUUCUUGUUCUAGUCAGCCCAUCAGUAUUGGGAAAGGCCAUCUGCUUUCCUGAGCCAAAUAAUUCAAAUGCUUACCUCAUUUAGAAACACAUGCACACACACACAACUAGAAGUAAUGUUUGAAAAAUAUCUGGAUGCUCCAUGGUCCUGUCAAGUUUACACAUAAAAUUAACCCACAUACCAAGGCUUCUCAGAGCAUGUUUGUUUAACUAUAGUUUCUCAAACUAUCUGUGGUGAACAAAAGUUGCCUCCUCCCCAACCACUGGGUACUGACGCUUGUGUGAAAUACAACCAAAAUGAACCACAAAUGUGGUACAUCCACACAAUGAAAUAUUAUUUAAACAUAAGAACAUAUGAAGUAUUGAUAGAUGCUACAACAUAGGUGAACCUACGAAGUAAAAGAAGCCAGACACAAAGGGCAUAUACUGUAUGAUUCCAUGUAUGUGAAAUGUCUGGAGUGAAUGCCCAUGUAAUGUUUAGCCUAUUAAAAUAUUCGGGCUGGGGAUGUGGCUCAAGUGGUAGCGCGCUUGCCUGGCAUGCACGGGGCGCUGGAUUCGAUCCUCAGCACCACAUAAAAAUAAAAAAAUAAAGAUGUUGUGUCCACCGAAAACUAAAAAAUAAAUAUUAAAAAAAAUUUCUCUCUCCCCCUCUCUCUUUAAAAAAAAACAGUGAUAUUCAAAGCAAGAAUAUGUAGAGCAAGAAAGUUGAUAAGGGCUGGGGGUUAGAGUGCAAAUACUGAAGAGUGAAAAUUAAGUAGAGUCAGUUGUAUUCUGACUCUAGUAUUGCAGUAUGUAUAUACAUGGCUGUAUAACCAAUGUGAUCCUGCAAUCUGUACACGUGGAAAAAUGAGAAUUCAUACCCUAUUUGAAUCAAAUGUAUGAUAUGUCAAUAUCAUUGUAUUGUCUUGAACAACUAAUAGAAAAAAGAAAAUUAAGUAGAAGUGAUGAAAUGUUUUAAAAUUGACUGUGGC
rnacentral:lncRNA from 1 species